UGGGGAAUAUUGCACAAUGGGGGAAACCCUGAUGCAGCGACGCCGCGUGAACGAAGAAGGUAUUCGUAUCGUAAAGUUCUGUCCUAUGGGAAGAUAAUGACAGUACCAUAGAAGAAAGCUCCGGCUAAAUACGUGCCAGCAGCCGCGGUAAUACGUAUGGAGCGAGCGUUGUUCGGAAUUAUUGGGCGUAAAGGGUACGCAGGCGGUUUAAUAAGUCGAAUGUUAAAGAUCGGGGCGCAACCCCGUAAAGCAUUGGAAACUGAUUAACUUGAGUAGUGGAGAGGAAAGUGGAAUUCCUAGUGUAGUGGUGAAAUACGUAGAUAUUAGGAGGAAUACCAGUAGCGAAGGCGACUUUCUGGACACAAACUGACGCUGAGGUACGAAAGCGUGGGGAGCAAACAGG
rnacentral:rRNA from 1 species